GAUGAACGCUGGCGGCGUGCCUAAUACAUGCAAGUCGAGCGAAGCGGGGACGGUUGAGUAACACUUGGAUAACCUCCUAUACGACUGGGAUAACUUCGGGUAACCCUUGCUAAACCUGCUACUUAUAUGUGGAUCUUCGCUGCAUUAGCUAGUUGGUAAGGGAACGGCUUACAAAGGCAACGAUGCAUAGCCGACCUGAGCGGGUGAGCGGCCACACGGGAACUGAGAAACGGCCCAGACUCCUACGGGAGGCAGCAGUAGGGAAUCUUCCGCAAUGGGCGAAAGCCUGACGGAGAAACGCCGCGUGAGUGAAGAAGGUCUUCGGAUCGUAAAACUCUGUUGUUAGAGAAGCGGUACCUAACCAGAAAGCCACGGCUAACUACGUGCCAGCCGCCGCGGUAAUUC
rnacentral:rRNA from 1 species